rnacentral:lncRNA from 1 species
UGUCUUACAUUGAACAUUGUUCUCAAAUAGUUUUGAAAUCAUCUCAAAUUGACAGUUUAAUUUCAAAUUGAAAUGGUUUCAGAGUGUUUGUGCCAAGGGAGUGAAUCGACAAAUGAAAAUUAGUCCCUAGUGAACUGAAAUUGAUGUGAGAACAAUGUUCAAUGUAACAGGUUUAACAUGCAACAUCAUAGCCUCUAACAUAAGCUUGUAGACCAU